rnacentral:rRNA from 1 species
GACCAUACCACCUUGAGAAUACCUGGCCUCGUCUGAUCUCAGAAGCUAAACAGGGUUAGUACUUGGAUGGGAGACUGUUGGGAAUCCCAGAUGCCACAGUGGGAGUC